GUCCUCGAGCACACCUGAUUCAAAUGAUCAGCUCGUUAUCAAGCCAUUCCAGAGCUUGAUAACGAGCUGAUCAUUUGAAUCAGGUGUGCUCGAGGAC